rnacentral:rRNA from 1 species
CCUACGGGAGGCUGCAGUAGGGAAUCUUCCACAAUGGGCGAAAGCCUGAUGGAGCAACGCCGCGUGGGUGAAGAAGGUCUUCGGAUCGUAAAACCCUGUUGUUAGAGAAGAAAGUGCGUGAGAGUAACUGUUCACGUUUCGACGGUAUCUAACCAGAAAGCCACGGCUAACUACGUGCCAGCAGCCGCGGUAAUACGUAGGUGGCAAGCGUUAUCCGGAUUUAUUGGGCGUAAAGGGAACGAAGGCGGUCUUUUAAGUCUGAUGUGAAAGCCUUCGGCUUAACCGGAGUAGUGCAUUGGAAACGGGGAGACUUGAGUGCAGAAGAGGAGAGUGGAACUCCAUGUGUAGCGGUGAAAGGCGUAGAUAUAUGGAAGAACACCAGUGGCGAAAGCGGCUCUCUGGUCUGUAACUGACGCUGAGGUUCGAAAGCGUGGGUAGCAAACAGGAUUAGAUACCCGAGUAGUC